AGGCGGCUGAUUAAGUCGGAUGUGAAAUCCCUGAGCUUAACUUAGGAAUUGCAUUCGAUACUGGUCAGCUAGAGUAUGGGAGAGGAUGGUAGGAUUCCAGGUGUAGCGGUGAAAUGCGUAGAGAUCUGGAGGAAUACCGAUGGCGAAGGCAGCCAUCUGGCCUAAUACUGACGCUGAGGUACGAAAGCAUGGGGAGCAAACAGGAUUAGAUACCCUGGUAGUCCAUGCCGUAAACGAUGUCUACUAGCCGUUGGGGUCUUUGAGGCUUUAGUGGCGCAGCUAACGCGAUAAGUAGACCGCCUGGGGAGUACGGUCGCAAGACUAAAACUCAAAUGAAUUGACGGGGGCCCGCACAAGCGGUGGAGCAUGUGGUUUAAUUCGAUGCAACGCGAAGAACCUUACCUGGCCUUGACAUACUAGAAACUUUCCAGAGAUGGAUUGGUGCCUUCGGGAAUCUAGAUACAGGUGCUGCAUGGCUGUCGUCAGCUCGUGUCGUGAGAUGUUGGGUUAAGUCCCGC
rnacentral:rRNA from 1 species